rnacentral:rRNA from 1 species
CUGGCUCAGAACGAACGUUGGCGACACGUUUUAAGCAUGCAAGCCGAGCGGGAACCAUUCUUCGGAGUGGGGAGAGCGGCGACCUGGUGAGUAACACGUAGGUAAUCUGCCCUUUAGUGGGGAAUAGCUCCUGGAAACAGGGAUUAAUGCCCCAUAGUCCUUUUUAUCAUAAGUUAAAAAGGUAAAGCUCCGGCGCUAAAGGAUGAGCCUGCGGUACAUUAGCUAGUUGGUGGGGUAAUGGCCUACCAAGGCAAUGAUGUAUAGCCGGCCUGAGAGGGCGACCGGCCACAUUGGGACUGAGAUACGGCCCAGACUCCUACGGGAGGCAGCAGCUAAGAAUCUUCCGCAAUGGACGCAAGUCUGACGGAGCGAUGUCGCGUGAGGGAUGAAGGUCUUCGGAUUGUAAACCUCUUUUCUAUACGAAGAAUGACUGACAGUAGUAUAGGAAUAAGCCUCGGCUAAUUACGUGCCAGCAGCCGCGGUAAUACGUAAGAGGCAAACGUUGUUCGGAUUCACUGGGCGUAAAGGGUGAGUAGGCGGAACUAUAAGUCUGAGGUGAAAGAUCGGAGCUUAACUUCGGGAACGCCUUGGAUACUAUAGUUCUGGAGUAUGUUAGAGGAUGACGGAAUUCCUGGUGUAAGGGUGGAAUCUGUAGAUAUCAGGAAGAACACCAAUGGCGAAGGCAGUCAUCUGGGGCAUAACUGACGCUGAAUCACGAAAGCUAGGGGAGCAAACGGGAUUAGAUACCCCGGUAGUCCUAGCCGUAAACGUUGUACACUAGGUGUACGUGGGUUUACCACGUGUGCCGCAGCAAACGUAUUAAGUGUACCGNCUGGGGAGUAUGCUCGCAAGGGUGAAACUCCAAGGAAUUGACGGGGGCCCGCACAAGCGGUGGAGCAUGUGGUUUAAUUCGAUGAUACGCGAAAAACCUUACCUGGGCUUGAAUGCCUUCGGAAUAGAUAGGAGAUUAUUAGCUCUUCGAAGCGUUUGUCCCGGUGCUGCUUGGGUGUCGUCAGCUCGUGUCGUGAGCUGUUGGGGUUAGGUCCCGGAACGAGCGCAACCCUUACCCUUUGUGGCCAUCAGGUUAAACUGGGCACUUUGAGGGAACAGCCGCUGACAAGGCGGAGGUAGGUGGGGAAGACGUCAAGUCCUCAUGGCCCUUAUGUCCAGGGCUACACACGUGUUACAAUGGCUGGUACAAAGAGAAUCAAUGCCGUGAGGUGGAGCAAA